rnacentral:tRNA from 1 species
GGAGGGAUGCCCGAGUGGUUAAAGGGGACGGACUGUAAAUCCGUUGGCUACGCCUACGCUGGUUCAAAUCCAGCUCCCUCCACCA